UACGGAGGGUGCGAGCGUUGUCCGGAAUCACUGGGCGUAAAGGGCGCGUAGGCGGCCUGAUAAGUAGGGGGUGAAAUCCUGCGGCUUAACCGCAGGGCUGCCUUCUAAACUGUCAGGCUCGAGCACAGUAGAGGCAGGUGGAAUUCCCGGUGUAGCGGUGGAAUGCGUAGAUAUCGUAAGGAAGACCAGUGGCGAAGGCGGGUCUCUGGACAGUUCCUGACACUGAGACACGAAGGCCAGGGGAGCAAACGGG
rnacentral:rRNA from 1 species